rnacentral:rRNA from 1 species
UACGUAGGGUGCGAGCGUUGUCCGGAUUUAUUGGGCGUAAAGAGCUCGUAGGCGGUUUGUUGCGUCGGCUGUGAAAUCCCGAGGCUCAACCUCGGGUCUGCAGUCGAUACGAGCAAACUAGAGUGUUGCAGGGGAGACUGGAAUUCCUGGUGAUAGCGGUGAAAUGCGCAGAUAUCAGGAGGAACACCGGUGGCGAAGGCGGGUCUCUGGGCCGAUACUGACGCUGAGGAGCGAAAGCGUGGGGAGCGAACAGG